GACGAACGCUGGCGGCGUGCUUAACACAUGCCAGUCGAACGGAAAGGCCCUGCUUUUGUGGGGUGCUCGAGUGGCGAACGGGUGAGUAACACGUGAGUAACCUGCCCUUGACUUUGGGAUAACUUCAGGAAACUGGGGCUAAUACCGGAUAGGAGCUCCUGCUGCAUGGUGGGGGUUGGAAAGUUUCGGCGGUUGGGGAUGGACUCGCGGCUUAUCAGCUUGUUGGUGGGGUAGUGGCUUACCAAGGCUUUGACGGGUAGCCGGCCUGAGAGGGUGACCGGCGACAUUGGGACUGAGAUACUGCCCAGACUCCUACGGGAGGCAGCAGUGGGGAAUAUUGCACCAUGGGCGGAAGCCUGAUGCAGCAACGCCGCGUGCGGGAUGACGGCCUUCGGGUUGUAAACCGCUUUCGCCUGUGACGAAGCGUGAGUGACGGUAAUGGGUAAAGAAGCACCGGCUAACUACGUG
rnacentral:rRNA from 1 species